AGGGACUGGGGACACAGAUAUCAACCUACAGUUAGUCAGGACUACAAGAAACAUUGGGACUGGAGCCUAGCAAAGUCCUCAUCAAAAGACUUCAUCUAGCAACUGAUAUCUGUCUAAAUCCAACAUGACUGGCUACAAAGAAGAACAAUAUAGGAGCUUGGGUGAUGAUCUAUGAAUUAAAUCUAUAAAAA